rnacentral:rRNA from 1 species
UACGGAGGAUGCGAGCGUUAUCCGGAUUUAUUGGGUUUAAAGGGUGCGUAGGCGGACUGUCAAGUCAGCGGUAAAAUUGAGAGGCUCAACCUCUUCCCGCCGUUGAAACUGGUGGUCUUGAGUGGAUGAGAAGUACGCGGAAUGCGUGGUGUAGCGGUGAAAUGCAUAGAUAUCACGCAGAACUCCGAUCGCGAAGGCAGCGUACCGGCAUCCAACUGACGCUGAGGCACGAAAGCGUGGGGAUCGAACAGG